rnacentral:rRNA from 1 species
UAAGGAAUAUUGGUCAAUGGACGGAAGUCUGAACCAGCCAUGCCGCGUGCAGGAAGACGGCCCUACGGGUUGUAAACUGCUUUUGUACUGGAAUAAACCCCUUUAUGUAUAGAGGGCUGAAUGUACAGUAAGAAUAAGGAUCGGCUAACUCCGUGCCAGCAGCCGCGGUAAUACGGAGGAUCCGAGCGUUAUCCGGAUUUAUUGGGUUUAAAGGGUGCGUAGGUGGCUUAUUAAGUCAGGGGUGAAAGACGGCAGCUUAACUGUCGCAGUGCCCUUGAUACUGAUGAGCUUGAAUAUACUAGAGGUAGGCGGAAUGUGACAAGUAGCGGUGAAAUGCAUAGAUAUGUCACAGAACACCGAUUGCGAAGGCAGCUUACUAUGGUAUGAUUGACACUGAGGCACGAAAGCGUGGGGAUCAAACA